UACGAAGGGGGCUAGCGUUGUUCGGAAUCACUAGGGCGUAAGCGCACGUAGGCGGAUCUUAAGUCAGGGGUGAAUCCCGAGGCUCAACCUCGGAACUGCCUUGAUACUGGGAUCUCGAGUCCGGGAGAGGUGAGUGGAACUGCGAGUGUAGAGGUGAAAUUCGUAGAUAUUCGCAAAGAACACCAGCGGCGAAGGCGGACUCGACUGGCCCGAGUACCUGACGCUGACGGCACGGAAAGGCGACUGGGGAGCCAAACUAG
rnacentral:rRNA from 1 species